AACUGGGAUUGCUUGGCC
rnacentral:miRNA from 1 species